UGCAUACCUCAAAAGCGGAGGAAAAGAAACCAACAGGGAUUGCCUUAGUAACGGCGAGUGAGCGGCAAAAGCUCAAAUUUGAAAUCUGGCACCUUCGGUGUCCGAGUUGUAAUUUGAAGAAGGUAACUUUGGAGUUAGCUCUUGUCUAUGUUCCUUGGAACAGGACGUCACAGAGGGUGAGAAUCCCGUGCGAUGAGAUGUCUAACUCUAUGUAAAGUGCUUUCGAAGAGUCGAGUUGUUUGGGAAUGCAGCUCUAAGUGGGUGGUAAAUUCCAUCUAAAGCUAAAUAUUGGCGAGAGACCGAUAGCGAACAAGUACAGUGAUGGAAAGAUGAAAAGAACUUUGAAAAGAGAGUGAAAAAGUACGUGAAAUUGUUGAAAGGGAAGGGUUUGAGAUCAGACUUGGUAUUUUGUAUGUCUUGCUUUCGGGUGGGGCCUCUGCAGUUUACUGGGCCAGCAUCGGUUUGGAUGGUAGGAUAAUGACAUUGGAAUGUGGCACUACUUCGGUGGUGUGUUAUAGACUUUGUUGAUACUGCCUGUCUAGACCGAGGACUGCGUCUUUGACUAGGAUGCUGGCAUAAUGAUCCUAAACCGCCCGUCUUGAAGACACGAGAACCA
rnacentral:rRNA from 1 species